rfam:Candidatus Parvarchaeum acidophilus ARMAN-5 ARM5contig_1668, whole genome shotgun sequence.
GUCGGGAUACUCAAGCGGUUACGAGGCACGCCUGCUAAGCGUGUUGGCGAAAGCCUGCGUGGGUUCGAAUCCCACUCCCGACG